ensembl:lncRNA
GGCAGUAGGGGACCAGAUGGAGAGAAGGGUGACAGAGGACCCAAGGGGAAAAAGGUAAUCACCAGCACACAAUACAUUCAACACAAUACAUUAAAAAAUUUUAAAGCUUUAAAUGCAUAUUUGGAAGAUUCAGUAAAUUACCCGUUUAUGAUUAUAUUCUACUGUAUGUUUUUAGGGACCAAAAGGAGCACCAGGGAUCAUGGGUCCUCAGGGUGAGAGGGGCCAGCCAGGUCUCCACGGCUUACCUGGUGUUAAAGGUCAGCCAGGUGCUCCAGGUCUCCAGGGUAUAGAUGGUGAAGUGGGUCCUCAGGGAACACUUGGAAAAGAGGGUCAAAAGGUCAGAGUGCUUUAUGACUUUCAGGUGGAGCAAUCACCAAAACUUUCUAAUAGCUCACCCUUUUAUAUCAGUCCACCUGUGAUUGCUCCUCUUAAAACACAAUGCUGCCCAAAGGCCCUUUCACGCUGUCCUAUUAAUAUAUGCACCUACUGUAAAUCAGUAACAUCUCUUCCUUUCGUUUUAUUUUUUUUAUUUUUGAAACAAAGGGCAGUAGGGGUGAACCUGGGGAUAAUGGAAGAACAGGACUCAGAGGAUCAAGAGGUCGAGCAGGCCAACAUGGUCCCCCUGGUGUACCUGGAAUAGUGGUAGGGGAAUUGAAUUUGAGAAGAUUGAGUCCAGAUUUAUUUAGUUCACACUUUAUUGAUUUGAUCAUAUAUACUUUGCUAUUUCUGCAGGGUUUUAGAGGUCCAGUUGGUGCAGAGGGACCAGAAGGAAAGCCUGGUACACAGGUUCCCAUUUCAUACAUUUAAUAUCAAGUUUUUUUUUUAUUAUUAUAUAUCUCAGUCAUAGUGAUUUAUCUUAUACAAAUCUUUGGUUUACCAUUACAGCAAAGUAAGACAUUAAAAUUCUGUUGAAUUAUGUAUCUGUCUUGCAGGGUGUUUCUGGUUCUGUUGGAAGCCCAGGGGAUAAAGGACUUGAUGUAUGUUUCUCCUCAUCAACCAAAUUAUUCUGUGAGAUAUAUUAGUCAGUUGAAAUCAGACUGCUGCUAUAAUCAAAGCUUGUAAAGACUGGUCAAUAAUGAUAACAGAUGGUUCUUUAAAAGAGCUAUUACCAACAUUAGACCUCAGAAGGAGGAGAAACACUUUAUACAGGCAUGUCAAGGUCAGAAAGAUCAAAGAGUAUUAAACUUUACAAGGUCUUAAACAUCCAGUUAGGUUGGUUCUUCUCUCAUGCAGGAAUGAGCUGUUUCAGUAUGACAGCAAGAGUCUGAAACGUGUUUUAGUGAAGUGACACAGCCAAGUAUGGUGUCCCAUACUCAGAAUUCGUGGUCUGCAUCAAUAUAUAUAUGAUUCAGUUUACCAGUUUUCUAAAUGGAGUAAACAGGGUCAUGUCA